rnacentral:lncRNA from 1 species
AAAAGUGUAAGGCUCAAAAUAUGGUGUGGAUUAGACCCCGGGGGCCAUAGUGUUCACUAGAGGCUUCUCUCAUAAUAGCAAAUAUCACGGUGGGUGAAUAAAUUACUGUCGAGCAAUUGAUAGAACCGCGCAAAGUCAUGACGAUAUCUAAGGCAAUGAUCAUGCAUAUAGGCAUCACGUCUGAGACAAGUAGACCGAUACUUUCUGCAUCUACUACUAUUACUCCACACAUCGACCGCUAUCCAGCAUGCAUCUAGUGUAUUGAGUUUAUGACGAACAGAGUAACGCUUUAAGCAAGAUCACAUGAUGUAGAGGGAUAAUCUCAAACCAAUGAUGAAAACCCCAUCUUUUUACCCUUGAUGGCAACAACGCGAUGCGUGCCUCGCUACCCCUUUUGUCACUGGGUGAGGUCACCGCACGGUAUGAACCCCAAACCAAGCACUUCUCCCAUUGCAAGAAUCAUAGAUCUAGUUGUCCAGACAAAACCCACAACUCGAAGAGAAUUAUAAGGAUAUGAAAUCAUGCAUAAGAGAGAUCAGAAGA